CCAUAGUCAACACCACACCAUCCCCAAAUAUAGGGGAUACUUUGACGUAUAUGGGGGAUCCCCUGGGACACAUGCAGAAGCUGGAUCUUCUGGUACAGCCUACAUUCAGGAUGAUGAGAGGAGCUAUAACAUGCUGAAAGUUGACAACAAUGGUUAGCAGCAGAUUUCAGAAGAAACAGAAAUAUGGAAUGAGGGUGACAGGAUUGACCUCACCUCUUACAGCUCUGAGUACAGCAAGACCACCUCCUACACAACAACUCAGGGACACACAGAAGGAGGAUGUUCCAAAUUUAUCCUUUUGUUUAUUUUGAUGGAUUUAUGAUCAUGAACUAUGACAUCAUAUUAUACUAGCAUAGUCAAAUAACUCUGAUAUAAAUUGAGGUCAAAGUAUUAAUGUUUUGUAAGAAUAUUACAUAGACAGAUCCUGAUGAUUAUAAAAUCAUCAUAUUGCAUCUGUAAACUGUCUUUAGCAUUUUAAUUUACUCUUUUAUUGUAAGUUACACUUUUUAUAAAAUCACACCUUCAAUUUGACUUUUAGGUGGAGAGUAACGAGCCCAUUUAUGACUGUUACUGCCACUACUGUAACUGGAGAUACCCGUACACAAACGCCCCAACCUACUACUGCCUACACCACCUGUUUGACCAGACAUUGCAUUCCCACGCUGAUGACUACAACAUGGCCUGGGCUUGCACUGCAACAGUUACUAUCACCCUUGCUGUACCUACCUACAUGUACAUCAUAAAAUCAAGGUCUACCCUGUGGCCGCACACUAUACCAAGUUUAAGGUACUUGGCUAUGUUACUGCUGGUGAGGCAUUUGAUGUGACCCCAAACUACAUUGUUCCCAGUUCAAGCCCCAUUCACGGGCCUAUGUGGACCUCCCGGUUGGCAAGAUAGCUGCAAAGUUUGAGUUCUUCUAUCUGGCCAUGAGAACAGUAUUUACUUAUAUGCAGCUUUGUCCGAGAUUGAAAGUCACCUGAUGAAUUGAGGUACAAGCACAUCAGCCUUCACGGAGCCUCCACAUGGAUUCUGGCAGAUGCCGGUCAGUCAUUUGACUUCAUUGACGUUUACUUACAGGGACAUGCCCACCUGGGCUUCAGGCCGAAAAACAGCUACACUGAUGCUGUGUCCAUGUUUGCUGGCAAGGUUGUCGGCGAUAAAACUGGCUAUUUCCAUAUUGGGUACAACCAGGAUGUGACAGUGAACUCCACAGACUUUGAUGUCCCCUUCAACACACAUGUAUAUGAGAAGGGACACAUCACCUAUCCACCAAGAAACUUCUUCUACAAGACAAAAUUGCUCUCCUCAGGAAAGGUGUCAGGUAUCGAGGAUCUGUAUGUGUUCAAGGAAGGCCAUGUUGCCAUAGAUAGGAAUGGUAGCCUAGCAACCAGCCACUCACCGGCGACAGUGUGUCCCUCAAAUCCCUGCAUGUUCAAGAGGGUGGAACAUUUGAAAUGUCCUCUGAGUCACACCAACCAUAGGCUUCAGCAGUGAUGCCACAAACAUCUCUGUUUAUGGUGAUGGCCAUUUCAUGAUCAACACUGGUAUUAUUAUGACAGUCCACCACCUUCUGGCUGUGUACUCAGGUGGCAAGAUCGAGUGGUGCAGGGUACCAGCCUAACUCAGGGCUGGGAGGACCCGGAGCAGGCAUUGGUUCUACUUCUGGUGGAAGUGGAGCUGGUCAUGGUGGCAGUGGAGGCCGAGGCUCUAGUCUUGGCAAGGUUGGCACUAGGUGACCUGUACUUUGGAGACCAUCCUCAUGGCAACCAGAUGAUCUACAAGACACUUGGUGGCGCUGGUGGUGGCUACCUGGAGAUAAAAAGCCGACAUGUGGACAUUGAUGGGCUUGUGGUGGCCAAUGGAAAUGCUCCUGACACAAGUUUUGACAGAG